rnacentral:lncRNA from 1 species
UUACAGUUACCCCCAUGUCUGCUAACAUGAGAACCUUCUUUACUUGAUCAAUCAUAAAUACAAACGAUGACUGUGCUCAUUAAUACUUACAAUGAGUUACUCUUGAGAGAAGUAGUGGUGAAAAGGAGAAGAAAUGAGAUUUUGAGGCUGCUUGCUAAAAACAUAUGUAUCUCCUACUAUGCCAUUCUCCAGGAGCAGAAAGAACUCACUUUACAAGAUUUUAAAACACAGUUGUUUGUAUUAUCACAGUAAAAUAUGUAUGUUACUUGAAAUAUGUUGAUUCACUCAUUCCUUUUUAUUAGCCUCAGCCUCUUUCCUUAACCCCUGAUUACAUAUACUUGUGACAAUAAAGUGAGCGCUUCUAACAGCGGCUUCUCGGUCACAAAUUCCCAGUACAAUUUGUUUGGUAAAGCUGAUUAAAAAUAAAAGUGUGUUAUUUUAACCGACUCCCUCCCUUUCUCCACACAUCCUAAAUCCCUUUCAUUAUCCAGCUUUCCUUUCCCAAGAAAUUACAGGGGGUAUUUACAGCCUUAAGUCUCUUAAGCCAACUUCAACUGACCAUGUCAGCCUGCGUUCACAAGCUUAUUUCAGCACAGCCCCUGAAACAUAGAAGGAUGUGUUUACGAGAAUGUGGCUCCCUGGGGAUGAGCCAGGCACAUCUGUAAUUCUAAGGAGAGUGUAAUGAGGAAAAACUGGUGGCAUCCUGAAUGGCUCACAGCUGUUCUGGAAGCUGAUAAAUAAGAUGCUCGACAGGAGAUCCCUAAUUGGAGCCAGUUUUUCUUAAGUGGAUACACAAUCCGGUGCAAGACUGAGUGUUGGAACGCUGAUAGUGUUGUUCACAUGUAACUUAGUUUGUCUUGUAAACAGUUCCAAUUUCUUUGUUCAAAAAGGGGGAAAAAAAUGUUCACUUCAUCAAUUUUUUUCACACUAAUUAGAGCCAAGCAAGCAUGAUUUUUCCUCGUGUUUUUCUCCACAAAAACUCCACUAGCUAGGAGCCUGUCUCUUCCUUUCCUUCUAUUUUCCAUUCUUUCUCUUUGUUCCCUCCCUCCCUUCCCUCUUUCUUUCCUUCCUUCCUUUUCUCUUUUUCUCCUUCUGUUUUUUAUUUUCUCCCUUCUUCCUUCUUCCUUCACUCUUUCUUCAUCCCUGCACCUUUGGUGAUACAAGUUCUUCAGUUCCGGGUUCAAAGCAUUGAAUUCAUUUUUCCCUUUCAGACUCUGGCCGCCCUACCUUAAGGCUGGGAUUUUACUUGCUUAAAGAUUGUGGCCUUGUGGCCCUUUUAAAAGAAUGUCCAUAAUAUUUUAAUUUUCAUCUAUGAAAUGGCCAAAUAGCUUCUAGAAGAAGGUAAGAGAUUUCCGAUGCACGGAAAGACUUUAAUGGAGUCCUCCUGGAAUUGUGUUCUUGAAAAAACAACUGGGGUAGCUUCCUCUUCUGGGUGAUUCGCCUCCUUUGCAACUGGGCAGGAGAAGGCACUGUCCUCAGGAGGGACUCGAGCCCCAGAUCCUCUUCCUGCCGUGGACCUUGACAUUAGCACCUGUCUCCAGCAGAGUUGUUAGGACACUGGCUGACAGACAAUACAUUAAAAAUAAUAAACAAACAACAACAUGACCAGAAAACUGGCUUAGAGUCUAUUUACUUUUUAAUAUAAAUAAAUAACAUGAUCACUAGCCUGUGUAGAACUCUCUCUGCUCUUGUGUCCUGAUGUUUAAGGAGUGUGGGAGGAGAAGACAAAAAAAUCCAGAACGUUUCUAAUAGAAUCUUGCAUUCCUUCCACACAUGGAGACUUUUCCUUGUUCCCACUUUAAUAAAGUAAGUAAUCCCUCCAGCACAGGACAUUUUCACUUUUAGAAAUAAGAAAUGCCAAGGAUUCAUGAGAGGUAAGGACAGCAUCCUUCUCACACUGAUUCCUUCCUCCUUCACCGCCCCCCGCACCCCGUUCCCCUGUGAAAUAUUGUAGGGAAAGGUGGAGUAAAGUAAAACUAUCUUUAAAGAAGCAAGAGGGUGACCAGUGUUCAUCCACUCACCACGCAUCAAGACAUCACUUGUGGUUCCAGCACCGCUAAAUGCUCAAAAAUAGAACGAUGAACAACGUCCUGCCUUGCCCUCAAAAAUUGCACAUCCCUGCCCUGUGAUCUAUGGCCUGGAAACUAAGGUCAGAGGAGACAAGAAAAUGCCAUCAGGGGCAGUGAGAUUGUCUUAAUGGCCCCUCUAAGGGCAGCUCCUUCUGAUUCGGGAGGUAAGUUCUUUUAAGGACAGCCAAACAUUUUAAGCAGGAAGCACUUGUACCCCUGUCAUCAUAGCAUCAUAGCUCAUCUCCAGGGAACCCCACUGGACAUUUACUUAGAUUAACCCAUCUUAAAUAUUUAUCCAAUUGAAAGAUGACUUCUCUCCCACCUGGCUUAGUUCCAUGGAAAACGUUCAUUCCUCUAUAAGGUCCUGACAGAAGGAAAGAGAGUUCUGUAUCUCGACAACUUGGGAAUCAGAUUUCCAAGGAUCAUCGUGGACUGAAGGACAGCAGGUUCUAACAAUGGCUCAGCUGGAGCCAGUCAUCCACCUGCUGAUACAUGGAAGUCCAGACAGGUUUUGAAAAAAUGUUCCUGAUGAAAAAUAAAGUUGUAGUCAUGACAGCCAAGGGAUAAAAGAAAAGCCGGAGAGGCAGGAAUUGUGAAAUCCCUCUCCUGUAUCAAUCAUUAGCCAUAAAUAUAAUACUUGCCCCUUGUCUGAAGGCUGGAGCGUAUAGAGAUUCCCCUUGACACAUUCUUCUCAACUGAGAAAAAAUAUUAUAGUCGGAUUUAGAGAAGCCUAGUGCUCUUCUGCAGAUUAUUUUUAAGAAAAACACUGCUUCAUCUCUAAAAUCAGGAAAAAAAAAAACAACAGACUGCUCACCCCGCAGUGAGUGAGGCUCAAAUAAAAUUGUCAUCCUAAUAUAUAUUUGGUGGUUACUACAUAUCAGGUGAACUAUUUCAUUUAAUACCAUGAAGAGAUCUGUGAUAGGCACAUGACUAUUAUCCUCAUCAUAAAUGCAGAAACUAAAGCUAAUAGAGAAUAAGUAACAUGCAUAAAAUUAACGGCUAAUCAGUGGCAAUACAGAUACUAUUAGAAUGCUAUGUUUUAUGAAGUUGCAUGAAUCGGGUACAUGAGGGCCACAUUCUGCCUUUAAUAAAACAAUAAAGCAAAUGUUGGCUCUGCUGUAAUUUUUACAUCCUCUGAUGAGUUAAAAUUAAAACAAGAACACAAGGACAUUUAUUAUUAAUUACACAUUCAUUCAUUUUUCAUUCGGGUAGACAUCAUCAAAAGCUAAGUGGUGACUGCCUUGUGCACUCAUUUUUUAUACUGUGUUUAUAACUCUUUUAAUAAUGCAAAUAUUUAUUAUGGGCAUCCCUGGAGAAUCAAAGGUGCUCGACGAAGGGAUUUCUAAAUAUCACGAUCCACUGCCGAGUAAAAACACCAGGGUACUUCUACUGUGUAAAGGGUCAGAGCCACAGGGUCUGUCAAAAGGGUCACUCAGCACAAAAACAAGGCAGAAGGUUAUCCAGCUUCUGGAAUAAAGUAGCAGCAGGUAUAAUCUUCACCAACAGAGAGAGAGGAGGCAUGAGGAGAAUUUCUCCAGGGUAAGCAAAACUACAUCACAGGCUAGAAAUGGCACCAAAGACAGUUACUACACAAUGGACCUGAACACUAUGAAAAUUCCGCUUUUCCAGUAUUAUCUUCCAUACUAACAAAUUAAUUCAAUUCAAUUUAAUAAACUUUUGAUGGUUUCCAAUACAUAAAGCAUCAGACUAGGUCCCGGGGGGCUUUUUAAAAAAACUGAAUAAAGGUAGUCUUCUGGAAAAAUCUUAGUCUAGUGAUAGAAGUAGGUAAAACUCUGCUCACUGAAGGGCUUGUGUCCUCUGCUAAGGAUCUGGGGCUUCAUCCUGGAAGAAAUGUUAGUCAAGCGCCUCAAAGGCCAUUGUUUACAAAGCGUAACCAUCUGGAAGCAAAAUGGAAAAGAGAAAGGAGUGUGCAGGCGGACACGUGGACUCCCUUAGGAGCUUACUGCAAUGGUCUGACCAAAAUCUCACGAGGACUGCACUGCAGCAGCAGCAGCCCCUGGGAUGCAGGAGACACAAUGGAUUUGAGAUACGUUAGAGGUUAAACACAGCUAGAAUCCAUGAAUGAUGAGAUACAAAACAGAAAGACAUACUCAGAAUGACAGUAAGCUUCCUGUUUCAGGUGCCUGGGAAGACAAUGUAGAACAACGUAGACGUAAAGAAUGGAGAAGAUAAAACAAAAAAUUUUUUUUAAUUUUUAAAAAUGAAUGGAGAAGAAAUAGUCAAUGGCGGGUUACUGAGAGAUAUGUUGAAUUUCACACUGGACUUUACUUGGAUGUGCCUGGGGAUAUCCAAAAAAAAGACAUUUGACAGCUGUUUCUGUGUAACGAAAUAUCUGCGAAUAUUUGGGUAUAACAAGUUAUAACUUGUUCUAAUAUGCCAUUCCUUUGAUAUUUUUUCUAAUUAAUUGUUCUAACUUUCGUUUGCCUUAUUAGCAAAAGGCCCACAUCCUACCUCUCGAGCCUCCUCUACUUUUUGAAUCCUCUAAGAAACUUGAGAACUUAGGCCAAAGGAAUCAAUUACAGUUCCACAUGCAGAAUAAAGUCAGUGCACUGCACUUUGUUUCUCGGGGCUGCAUGAUUUCCCAAGUCCCUCUUGGCCUGAGAAAUGAUAUUUUCUCACCGCCAGAAAAGAGGUCUCUCUGAACAAGCCUGCAAGGUAAGAGAAUUCCUCUUCCCCAAUGCUAAGUUUGUCAAAGCCUGAUGCAGGCUGGGCUUCAAAAAAAAAAAAAAAAAAAAAA